rnacentral:ncRNA from 1 species
CCUAGUGUAUUAGAAGCCUUUAACUCUGUAGAGCAUAUGGCAUAAUGUGCUCUUUAAAUCAGGUUAAUUGCUGGAAAACCUUUGUUAAGGCAAUCAGCAGGAAACCUACGGAUAUAUUUUAUACAUAGUAGGAUCUUCAGAGGCUAUACGCCUGACAUCUGAUUUAAGUUUAAAUAUAGAUGAUGAUAUAGUCCAUCCUCUACUGUAAAGUAGAG